CUUUAUUCUCAAUCUUGAAGACAGCACAAGAGAAACACUUUACCCUUUAAUACUUUAAAAUCUUCUACUUUCACUGCCAGGGAUUUUUCUCUUUUAAAUGUAGAAUGAAGAAUUGACUACAAUCAUAUCAUUUUGGAUAACAUUUAAUGAACUGGUCUCUAGAGUACAAGAGAUGGCUUUUCUCAGAUUAUAAACACACUGACACGUGAAUAUAAUCUGAACCCUGAGAUCAGUACAAGAAUUUAAAUGUGCCUAUAUUUGGAGAUUAUUUUCUAUAAUAACAGAAGAGGCAGGGCCAUUGCCGGCCACUCACUGAAGGCUGCUCCGCCCUAUGGUGAUGGAAGGCAUACUUCAUGAAUUCUGUUGUUU
rnacentral:lncRNA from 1 species